rnacentral:rRNA from 1 species
AGAGGGAAAAGCUCAAAUUUAAAAUCUGGCAGUGUUUCACUGUCCGAGUUGUAACCUAGAGAAGUGUAACCUGCGCUGGACCGUGUAUAAGUCUCCUGGAAUGGAGCGUCACAGAGGGUGAGAAUCCCGUCUUUGACACGGACUACCAGUGCAUUGUGGUUGUGCUCUCAACGAGUCGAGUUGUUUGGGAAUGCAGCUCUAAAUGGGUGGUAAAUUCCAUCUAAAGCUAAAUAUUGGCGAGAGACCGAUAGCGAACAAGUACCGUGAGGGAAAGAUGAAAAGAACUUUGGAAAGAGAGUUAAACAGUAUGUGAAAUUGUUGAAAGGGAAACGUUUGAAGUCAGUCNCGUUGGUUGGGGAUCAGNCUGACAUUUGUUGGGUGUNCUUCCUGGUUGACGGGCCAACAUCAUUUUUGACUGCCAGAAAAAGGCCAGAGGAAUGUGGCACCUUUGGGUGUGUUAUAGCCCUUGGUCGUAUAUGGUGGUUGGGACUGAGGA